UUCUGGCUCAGGAUGAACGCUGGCGGCGUGUUUAACACAUGCAAGUCGAGCGAGAUGUUUCUCAGUAGAUUCUUCGGAUGAUACAGAGUUACGGAAAGCGGCGGACGGGUGAGUAACGCGUAGGCAACCUGCCCCUUGCAGAGGGAUAGCCUCGGGAAACCGGGAUUAAAACCUCAUAAUGCGGCACUGAGACAUCUCAGAGCCGCCAAAGAUUUAUCGGCAAGGGAUGGGCCUGCGUCUGAUUAGUUAGUUGGUGGGGUAACGGCCUACCAAGGCGACGAUCAGUAGCCGACCUGAGAGGGUGAUCGGCCACAUUGGAACUGAGACACGGUCCAAACUCCUACGGGAGGCAGCAGUGGAGAAUCUUGCACAAUGGGCGAAAGCCUGAAUGCAGCAACGCCGCGUGAAGGAUGAAGGCCCUUGGGUCGUAAACUUCUGUUCUAAGGGAAGAUAAUGACGGUACCUUAGGAGCAAGUCCCGGCUAACUACGUGCCAGCAGCCGC
rnacentral:rRNA from 1 species